CAAUAGCGUAUAUUAAAGUUGUUGCAGUUAAAACGCUCGUAGUCGGAUUUCGGGGCGGGUCCGCCGGUCUGCCGAUGGGUACGCACUGGCGGGCGCGUCCUUUCCUUCCGGAGACUGGCCCUACUCUUAGCUGAGCGGGGUCGGGAGUCGGAUCGUUUACUUUGAAAAAAUCAGAGUGUUUCAAGCAGGCAGCUCGCUCUUGCAUGGAUUAGCAUGGGAUAAUGAAAUAGGACUUUGGUGCUAUUUUGUUGGUUUCGAACACCGAAGUAAUGAUUAACAGGGACAGUCAGGGGCACUCGUAUUCCGCCGAGAGAGGUGAAAUUCUCAGACCAGCGGAAGACGAACCACUGCGAAAGCAUUUGCCAGGGAUGUUUNCACUGA
rnacentral:rRNA from 1 species